UGGGGAAUAUUGCACAAUGGGCGCAAGCCUGAUGCAGCCAUGCCGCGUGUAUGAAGAAGGCCUUCGGGUUGUAAAGUACUUUCAGCGGGGAGGAAGGGAGUAAAGUUAAUACCUUUGCUCAUUGACGUUACCCGCAGAAGAAGCACCGGCUAACUCCGUGCCAGCAGCCGCGGUAAUACGGAGGGUGCAAGCGGUAAGCGGAAUUACUGGGCGUAAAGCGCACGCAGGCGGUUUGUUAAGUCAGAUGUGAAAUCCCCGGGCUCAACCUGGGAACUGCAUCUGAUACUGGCAAGCUUGAGUCUCGUAGAGGGGGGUAGAAUUCCAGGUGUAGCGGUGAAAUGCGUAGAGAUCUGGAGGAAUACCGGUGGCGAAGGCGGCCCCCUGGACGAAGACUGACGCUCAGGUGCGAAAGCGUGGGGAGCAAACAGG
rnacentral:rRNA from 1 species